CCUACGGGGGGCAGCAGUGGGGAAUAUUGGGCAAUGGGCGCAAGCCUGACCCAGCAACGCCGCGUGAAGGAAGAAGGCUUUCGGGUUGUAAACUUCUUUUCUGAGGGACGAAGAAAGUGACGGUACCUCAGGAAUAAGCCACGGCUAACUACGGGCCAGCAGCCGCGGUAAUACGUAGGUGGCAAGCGUUUUCCGGAUUUAUUGGGUGGAAAGGGCGGGUAGGCGGGAAAGCAAGUCAGAUGUGAAAACUCAGGGCUCAACCCUGAGCCUGCAUUUGAAACUGUUUUUCUUGAGUGCUGGAGAGGCGAGCGGAAUUCCGGGUGUAGCGGUGAAAUGCGUAGAUAUACGGAGGAACAGCAGUGGCGAAGGCGGAUUGCUGGACAGUAACUGACGCUGAGGCGCGAAAGCGUGGGGAGCAAACAGGAUUAGAUACCCUGGUAGUC
rnacentral:rRNA from 1 species